rnacentral:rRNA from 1 species
GAGUUCUGAUUAUUGAAAGGUGCUUGCAUCUUGAUUUAAUUUUGAACGAGUGGCGGACGGGUGAGUAACACGUGGGUAACCUGCCCUUAAGUGGGGGAUAACAUUUGGAAACAGAUGCUAAUACCGCAUAAAUCCAAGAACCGCAUGGUUCUUGGCUGAAAGAUGGCGUAAGCUAUCGCUUUUGGAUGGACCCGCGGCGUAUUAGCUAGUUGGUGAGGUAACGGCUCACCAAGGCAAUGAUACGUAGCCGAACUGAGAGGUUGAUCGGCCACAUUGGGACUGAGACACGGCCCAAACUCCUACGGGAGGCAGCAGUAGGGAAUCUUCCACAAUGGACGCAAGUCUGAUGGAGCAACGCCGCGUGAGUGAAGAAGGCUUUCGGGUCGUAAAACUCUGUUGUUGGAGAAGAAUGGUCGGCAGAGUAACUGUUGUCGGCGUGACGGUAUCCAACCAGAAAGCCACGGCUAACUACGUGCCAGCAGCCGCGGUAAUACGUAGGUGGCAAGCGUUAUCCGGAUUUAUUGGGCGUAAAGCGAGCGCAGGCGGUUUUUUAAGUCUGAUGUGAAAGCCCUCGGCUUAACCGAGGAAGUGCAUCGGAAACUGGGAAACUUGAGUGCAGAAGAGGACAGUGGAACUCCAUGUGUAGCGGUGAAAUGCGUAGAUAUAUGGAAGAACACCAGUGGCGAAGGCGGCUGUCUGGUCUGUAACUGACGCUGAGGCUCGAAAGCAUGGGUAGCGAACAGGAUUAGAUACCCUGGUAGUCCAUGCCGUAAACGAUGAAUGCUAGGUGUUGGAGGGUUUCCGCCCUUCAGUGCCGCAGCUAACGCAUUAAGCAUUCCGCCUGGGGAGUACGACCGCAAGGUUGAAACUCAAAGGAAUUGACGGGGGCCCGCACAAGCGGUGGAGCAUGUGGUUUAAUUUGAAGCAACGCGAAGAACCUUACCAGGUCUUGACAUCUUUUGAUCACCUGAGAGAUCAGGUUUCCCCUUCGGGGGCAAAAUGACAGGUGGUGCAUGGUUGUCGUCAGCUCGUGUCGUGAGAUGUUGGGUUAAGUCCCGCAACGAGCGCAACCCUUAUGACUAGUUGCCAGCAUUUAGUUGGGCACUCUAGUAAGACUGCCGGUGACAAACCGGAGGAAGGUGGGGAUGACGUCAAAUCAUCAUGCCCCUUAUGACCUGGGCUACACACGUGCUACAAUGGAUGGUACAACGAGUUGCGAGACCGCGAGGUCAAGCUAAUCUCUUAAAGCCAUUCUCAGUUCGGACUGUAGGCUGCAACUCGCCUACACGAAGUCGGAAUCGCUAGUAAUCGCGGAUCAGCACGCCGCGGUGAAUACGUUCCCGGGCCUUGUACACACCGCCCGUCACACCAUGAGAGUUUGUAACACCCGAAGCCGGUGGCGUAACCCUUUUAGGGAGCGAGCC